GAUGAACGCUGGCGGCGUGCUUAACACAUGCAAGUCGAACGGAAAGGCCCUUGCUUGCAAGGGUGCUCGAGUGGCGAACGGGUGAGUAACACGUAAGUGAUCUGCCCUGCACUGGGGGAUAAGCUUGGGAAACUGGGUCUAAUACCCUAUAGGACCGCAUCGUGGUUGGUGUGGUGGAAAGGUUUUUCUGGUGUGGGAUGAGCUUGUGGCCUAUCAGCUUGUUGGUGGGGUAAUGGCCCACCAAGGCGGCGACGGGUAGCCGGCCUGAGAGGGUGUGCGGCCACAUUGGGACUGAGAUACGGCCCAGACUCCUACGGGAGGCAGCAGUGGGGAAUUUUGCACAAUGGGCGGAAGCCUGAUGCAGCGACGCCGUGUGGGGGAUGAAGGCCUUCGGGUUGUAAACUCCUUUCGUCAG
rnacentral:rRNA from 1 species